CGACAAUGGACUGGUGACGUAUUUCGAUCUUCAAAUUAUCUAACUCCGCCCAUAAAUUUGGACUGAUGACAUGUCUGACGUAGGGAUAAGGCGUGUCUGGUGGUGCCGGAGCGAGGUGCCGGGCGGCGCUCCGCUACUUUUCCCCGUCCCUGGAGAGUGAGCGCCGGCCAACAGGCCGGGCACCGUCAAGUCGGGCCUCACCGGAGGUCCUUCUUCCCGUUCCUGGAGCGGUUAUACCUGAACAUAGCAGAGCUGCUGCGAAUCUGAGGAACUUCAUCAGAUCCUUUACAUUCCAAAAAACAAGCUGAGGCAAUAUGUGCACCCGGUCCUGCAUAUCUUGGGUUCUGAGAAUGUUGUCAGCUCAUCAACUCAAUAAGUGGCGUGGGUCUGGAAUAAGUGCCCCAACUUUUCUUAACCUGGUGUAAGUGACUGAGGUUUUCUGUUUCUCUCUAAGGCUAUAACAUCUGUGCAUUAUCGAUGCAGUAAUAUUGAGAAACCGACCAAUGUCGUGCCAACCGGUUGUAAUAUUGGCAAACUGCGCCAACUAUGUGUAACAAUGGAAAUCAUGACCCUUUCAUACUGCUUUAUUACAAGUUACGUUACACUGUGUCACUAUUCAACCUAUAGUACCUCUAUUCUUCAGUUCAUUAUACAUACUGCUUCCAGUA